GAUGAACGCUGGCGGCGUGCCUAAUACAUGCAAGUCGAGCGAACAGACGAGGAGCUUGCUCCUCUGACGUUAGCGGCGGACGGGUGAGUAACACGUGGAUAACCUACCUAUAAGACUGGGAUAACUUCGGGAAACCGGAGCUAAUACCGGAUAAUAUAUUGAACCGCAUGGUUCAAUAGUGAAAGACGGUUUUGCUGUCACUUAUAGAUGGAUCCGCGCCGCAUUAGCUAGUUGGUAAGGUAACGGCUUACCAAGGCAACGAUGCGUAGCCGACCUGAGAGGGGGAUCGCCCACACGGGAACGGGGACACGGUCCAGACUCCUAGGGGGGGCCGCAGUAGGGAAUCUUCCGAAAUGGGCGAAAGCCUGACGGAGCAACGCCGCGUGAGUGAUGAAGGUCUUCGGAUCGUAAAACUCUGUUAUUAGGGAAAAAAAAAUGUGUAAGUAACUAUGCCCGUCUUGACGGUACCUAAGCAGAAAGCCACGGCUAACUACGG
rnacentral:rRNA from 1 species